CAUGAGAAACGGCUACCACAUCUAAGGAAGGCAGCAGGCGCGUAAAUUACCCAAUCCUGACUCAGGGAGGUAGUGACAAGAAAUAGCAAACCAGGAACCUCAUGGUUUCACGGUAUUGCAAUGAGAGCAAUUUAAAACCCUUAGCGAGAAUCAAGUGGAGGACAAGUCUGGUGCCAGCACCCGCGGUAAUUCCAGCUCCACUAGCGUAUAUUAAAGUUGUUGCAGUUAAAAAGCUCGUAGUUGAACCUCUGUCUGGGGCUAGUUUUGGCUUUGGUCAGGCUAGUUCUAGGCAUCCGCCUACAAGACUUAGAGGGCAUUCAGUUGUUCACUAGGAGGAGUAGGCAUUUUACUUUGAAAAAAUUAGAGUGUUUAAGGCAGGCAAUCGCCCGCAUAUAUUAGCAUGGAAUAAUAGAAUAGGACACUCUUCCAUUUCGUUGGUUAUUGGAAUCGUGUAAUGAUUAAUAGGGACAGUUGUGGGCAUUUGUAUUUAAUUGUCAGAGGUGAAAUUCUUGGAUUUAUUAAAGACAAACUAACGCGAAAGCAUUUGCCAAGGAUGUUUUCAUUAACCAAGAACGAAAGUUAGGGGAUCAAAGACGAUCAGAUACCGUCCUAGUCUUAACUAUAAACUAUUCCGACUCAAUGUUUGACUGGCUUAUAUAACCAGUUGAGCGUUGUAUGAGAAAUCAAAGUCUUUAGGUUCUGGGGGGAGUAUGGUUGCAAAGCUGAAACUUAAAGGAAUUGACGGAAGAGCACAACCAGGAGUGGAUUCUGCGGCUUAAUUUGACUCAACACGGGGAAACUUACCAGGUUAAAACAUUAGUGGGAUUGACAGUUUGAGAGCGCUUUCUUGAUUGGUUGGGUGGUGGUGCAUGGCCGUUCUUAGUUGGUGGAGUGAUUUGUCUGCUUAAUUGCGUUAACGAACGAGACCUUAACCUGCUUACUAGACUGGCGAUCAUCAAUCGUUAGCUCUUCUUAGAGGGACUUUGGUUGUUUUAACUCCAAGGAAGUUUGAGGCAAUAACAGGUCUGUGAUGCCCUUAGAUAUCCUGGGCCGCACGCGUCAUACAAUGACUAGUUUAGAAAGUUUUCUCCUGACCCGAAAGGGGAUGGGUAAUCUUGAUAAUACUAGUCGUGUUAGGGAUCGAUCUUUGCAAUUAUAGAUCUUGAACGAGGAAUUCCUAGUAAGUGCGGUUCAUCAGACCGUACUGAUUACGUCCCCGCUCUUUGUACACACCGCCCGUCGCUUCUACCGAGUGGGUGGUCCGGUGAGAUAAUUGAACUUCGCAGGUAACUGAGAGGAAAGAUUAUCAAACCUAUCCACCUCGAGGAAGAAGAAGUCGUAACAAGGUU
rnacentral:rRNA from 1 species